GAGCUGUAACUGCUCUGCAGCUGCUACUAUGCGCUGUGAGCCAGCCUCGUGCCUCAAGGGGGAGAGCUGCACCCUUAACAAUACCUGGGGCUGUGCAAGGAAAGAUAAUGAUCAGAAUGUUCGUGUGGAUGAAGACACUGUCCAAAGUCAGUGUUGGGUGCUGGGAGGAGCCCAUUUCUGCACUUUUGAUGGACAGGUGUUUGAGUUUCAAGGAAACUGUACCUACACUCUGAUGUAUACAUUAAAUGAUACUAGUGAGAUCAGCCCAUUUUGGGUUGGGGUGCGGAAAGAGAGGACCACCAAUGAGGCUUCUUCUGUCAAAGCUAUCCACGUGAAAGUGGCUAAUGACAAUAUUUCCAUUUACAGAGGGGAAGAAGGAGCAGUUUGGGUAAGUUUGAGUUCUAAGAUGCACCGUCAUUCUAGCUUUACCGACUGAUUUUGCCUUUGCAUCUUUGACAGCUGUGUCCUGAGGCAUAGAUAGAUGGAUAGAGAUAUCAAAACACAUUUAACACUUGCCUUUGUUGCAAAUUGACUGGCUUAGCAAUUGUACAGGCAUAUAUAUACUAACUUUUUUUCUCCAUAGGUAAAUAAUGAAAAAAGGCGAUUGCCUGUCAUUCUCCAGCAUGGACUUGUGCAGAUUCAUCAGAGUGACACAUUUGUUGCCAUAGAAACAAAUCGGGGCAUUCACGUUAAGUAUGACCUCGCACAAAUUGUCACUAUCUUCAUAUCUAAAAGAACAAAAGUCAAUGGUCUGUGUGGGAAUAAUAAUGGUGUUAAGGAAGAUGACUUCAGGACACCACAGGGUGACAUAGUUGAUGCCACCACCUUUGGCUGGAGCUGGAGACUUCAUGAUCAGGAAGCUCAUUGUACUGCAGAGUGUGGAGACUCCUGCCCACACUGCUCUGCUCGGCAGCUACAGGAGAAAAAUGUAGCCAGUGAAUGGAUCUCCCUGCAUGAGUACUUCUGGUCACCACAAAGUGUUUUCUACUCAUGCCAGAAACAUGUUAACUACACUAAAAUCUCGCACUGAACAUAUUUGACCUUUGCUCCAGUAAUGACACUCAAAAAGCCCUUUGCUCCAUCUUGGAGGCUUACGCCGCUGCCUGCCAAAAUGUUACAGUUCACACUGAAGAGUGGAGGAGCAGGACUCUCUGUUGUAAGUGUUAUGUUCGUGGGUUUAGAAAUAAACACAAUCUGAUUGCAGGUGUUAUGUUUAUGCAGAUAUGUUUGCACAUAUGUUUGCACAUGACUGAACACA
ensembl:lncRNA